CCUACGGGUGGCAGCAGUGAGGAAUAUUGGUCAAUGGGCGAGAGCCUGAACCAGCCAAGUCGCGUGAAGGAUGACGGCCCUAGGGGUUGUAACCUUCUUUGGUCAGGGAGCAAUUGAGUCCACGUGUGGGCUUAGCGAGCGUACCUGACGAAAAAGCAUCGGCUAACUCCGUGCCAGCAGCCGCGGUGAUACGGAGGAUGCGAGCGUUAUCCGGUUUUAUUGGGUUUAAAGGGUGCGUAGGCGGAAUAUCAAGUCAGCGGUAAAAAUUCGGGGGUCAACCCCGUCGUGCAGUUGAAACUGAUGUUCUUGAGUGGGCGAGAAGUAUGCGGAAUGCGUGGUGUAGCGGUGAAAUGCGUAGAUAUAACGCAGAACUCCGAUUGCGAAGGCAGAAUACCGGAGCCCAACUGACGCUGAAGCACGAAAGCGUGGGUAUCGAACAGGAUUAGAUACCCCGGUAGUC
rnacentral:rRNA from 1 species